GCCCCUGUCUUUGCAGUCUCAUAAACUACAUUUUGUGACUACUUCUAUGGAGACCUUUAUGGGAAAUACAACUGUUGCAAGAAAUGUUGGUAAUGCUUCAGGAGGUGGCACUUUGUGUGCGUUUAAAGCCAACACUUCACCAUAGUGAUGCAGGGCACAACAGUGCUGGUGAUGCAAUCUUCUGAAUGGGAUAUAAAAGCUACUCUUAAAAGCUGUUGUUAUUAAAGAUCUGACGAGACAAGUUCUGCUGUCAUAACUUUCCAUUUCUUUUUUAUUUGGGAAAAACUCUUUUUUUCUUUUCUUCAACUUCCCUACCCAGCUCCAAAAAAAACCCAACAAAACCCUGUAUAGAACUGUGACAUGAGAAAAGCUGCCAUGUUCUUCUGACAAGUUAUUUUACUAUAGUGACAUCAUCUGAUGAAAUGAUCUUAAGCUCAUGAAAGCUUGUACUAUGUAAUAUUCACUUUGGAUGUUCUGCAAGGUACAAAUCUACCCUGCCUUCUAUUUGACUUCAGACUGACAUCUCCAUCCUUAUUAUGAAUCAGAUUCUACUUCUGCUGCAGCCAGUAGUUUGGACAUUAGCAGAACUAGGAACAGAACUAAAAUGGUGUUGACUAUGUCUUCUCAAUAAACAUUAAAUCAUGUAAAAGGA